GCCGCCGUAGCUCAGUUGGUAGAGCAGUUGAUUUGUAAUCAUCUGGUCGGGGGUUCGAAUCCCUUCGGCGGCUCCA
rnacentral:tRNA from 2 species